rnacentral:lncRNA from 1 species
AUUGGUGACCUAUAUCUUUUAUUAUUUUUUUCAAAUAAGCUGCACUUAAACUAAACUAUUGUAAAAUUUAAGGGAUUUCUGUAAUUUAGUUUGAUUUUUAUUUCGAUAUUACCUCUAUUUCUCCUAUUCAACAGAAACCAGGUGCUCCGCAGGGCGCAGCUUUAUACGACCGCAGAGGUCGAACCCUGAACAGUUGGGGCAAGUAUGGACAAAACAUUCAAG